GCCCAGCCAGGCUGCAAUGGCCACCUGGAGGACAACGAUGGCAGCACCGCGCUCUCAAUAGCCCUGGAAGCAGGACACAAGGACAUCGCUGUUCUCCUCUAUGCCCACGUCAACUUCGCAAAAGCCCAGUCUCCGGGCACGCCUAGGCUUGGAAGGAAGACGUCUCCAGGUCCCACCCACCGAGGUUCAUUUGAAUGAUUACGUGCAAAUCGGUCUCCAUUUACACGCCACCAUUAAGCUGCUAAUUGUUCCUCUUGGGUUGACAGAUACUGAAUGUAUAUGUAUUGUGCCUGAGCUCACCAGCAAACAGAAGCAUAAAGCUGAGGGCUAAAGGCUGAAGCUUUCACAGUGCAGAGACUGCUGGCCUGGGCACGCCUCCUUUCUGGCCAUCUUCUCUCUGUGUAGGGCACACUUUAAUCCAGUCUCUGUUGCUGUCAAGUCUCUGCUCCGUUAUGUACAGUCGUGGGAAAUUGUAACCUGACCUGAAUGGGCACCUUCUGUUCACUUCUCUCCACUCCCCCACCACCACUAAGAAGUGUCAGGUUCUCACUGACAUCGUGUUUUAAAAUUUUUCCACAAAUAUUUACUAAAUGUGGAAUCAUUAGAAAUCUCUUCCAAAAUUCCAUUCCAAGGUGAUGUUCCUUUUGUCUGUAUUCUUUUAAAGUAAGGAAGUUGCGAUGACUUUGACUAUCAGCAACUUGGGCUGGUAGUUUCUGAUUUAAAAAUAGAAGAUGGAAUUCUCAAAGUAUAGAACUUAUAAAAGGAAGUAUUUUUUAAUUGGUUUUAUCUAGGUGGAUGUAUUAUACGACUUUUUAUAUAAAAGGUGUCUAUGAAAUUGACAGUUAUUUUCAACUUUUAUAUUCUAUAGUAAUUAAAGACAUGAAGAAACUAUAUGUAACAUUACCAUAUUUUUAUUAAUAAUGGCACAACUAUGUAUCUAUUGAUAAAAGUUGGAUUGUGUUAGAGGAAUUGGCUAUUAUUUGCCUCUAGAGAAACAUAGUAUAUAGUUCUUUGUAUUUAUGGAUUGAUUCCUUCAUACCAGGUCACAUUUACUUUGGUCCUAUAUGUAUUUAAAUGUUUGAAGUGCCUUAGACUCUUGCCAUAUUUCCAAAAUAAAAUUUCAUUAAGCUUU